CUGGCCCUGGGAAGACCCAGCUUUGAGCCUCAGGUUGUGUCUAAUCAUCUCUCUGUCCUUGGGCCAGUCAACUCACCUGUUCGUGCUGCCACAGAGACAGAGGGGCCACAUCAGAGAGAAAGACUCUACAGCUUGCCCAGAGUCGAGCUUAAAUGGAGCAGCAUGAUUUUUGUCUGAAAAGUCUGAGAUGGGACCAGUGGAAAGGUGUGCAUUUUAAGAAGGAUUUGCUUCCCCAUCUUGUGCCUUCUGUGUCUUGCAGCACGACCUGGCCCUCCACCUAGGAAUCAUACCUUCAUCCCCCAUACUCAUAAGCAUCCUCAUUCCUGUUUCCUUGUGGAUGUCAUGGUCUGCUGUGAAGUCUGCUUGGUGACCCGUCCAGACCUGACUUGGUAUAAAUGAUUUUGUUGCAGAGAAUAACAAA
ensembl:lncRNA novel transcript